rnacentral:rRNA from 1 species
CUAUGCGCCUUGCCAGCCCGCUCAGGUGUGCCAGCAGCCGCGGUAAUACGGAGGAUGCGAGCGUUAUCCGGAUUUAUUGGUUUAAAGGGUGCGUAGGCGGUCCGUUAAGUCAGCGGUAAAAUUGCGGGGCUCAACCCCGUCGAGCCGUUGAAACUGGCAGACUUGAGUUGGCGAGAAGUACGCGGAAUGCGCGGUGUAGCGGUGAAAUGCAUAGAUAUCACGCAGAACUCCGAUUGCGAAGGCAGCAUACCGGCGCCCGACUGACGCUGAGGCACGAAAGCGUGGGGAUCGAACAGG